rnacentral:rRNA from 1 species
UGAACGCUGGCGGCGUGCUUAACACAUGCAAGUCGAACGAAGCAUUUGCGACAGAUCUUUUCGGAGUGAAGUUGCUUAUGACUGAGUGGCGGACGGGUGAGUAACGCGUGGGUAACCUGCCUCAUACAGGGGGAUAGCAGCUGGAAACGGCUGGUAAUACCGCAUAAGCGCACAGAAUCGCAUGAUUUAGUGUGAAAAACUCCGGUGGUAUGAGAUGGACCCGCGUCUGAUUAGCUAGUUGGUGGGGCAACAGCCCACCAAGGCGACGAUCAGUAGCCGACCUGAGAGGGUGACCGGCCACAUUGGGACUGAGACACGGCCCAGACUCCUACGGGAGGCAGCAGUGGGGAAUAUUGCACAAUGGGGGGAACCCUGAUGCAGCAACGCCGCGUGAGUGAUGACGGUCUUCGGAUUGUAAAACUCUGUCUUUAGGGACGAUAAUGACGGUACCUAAGGAGGAAGCCACGGCUAACUACGUG